rnacentral:rRNA from 1 species
GGACCAAGGAGUCUAGCAUGUACGCGAGUCACUGGGCCACAAAUAACCCCAAAGGCGAAAUGAAAGUAAAAGUUGAUAAUUUUUACAUUAACUAAGGGAAGAUGGGCAAACUUAAAUGGAAGCCUCGCACUCCCGGACCGUCCCAUACUCAUUGCGAGUUGGGGCGGAUCUAGAGCGUACACGCUGGGACCC